rnacentral:lncRNA from 1 species
UGCGCGGAUUGUGUAAUGGGAAGAAAAUAUUUAAUUAAAAAAUUGCUAAAAUGGUUUCUUGCAGUUCUUAAAAUCUUGAUUUGUGACAUUUGAAAUGAAGCAAUCUGCCCACAGAUUUGAACAUUUAUCUCGCGACAACAUCAAGGAGAAGGGGAAGAUAUUAACUGGAGCCACAAAUGGUAUUGUUCUUAUCUGAUUCGUUGUAAUUGCUGUUCCAAAAGAGUUGCCGCGGCUGGAGGCAGAAACAUGAACCAGUCGCCUAACACCACUAAAGAGUAUAUGUUGGUCUGGCAGGCAUUUUACCUUUAGUUGUUCUUUUACUUUAACCAUUUCCUAAGAUGAUGAUAAAAGUCAAAACAUUUGUGCUGAUUGAUAACGUUUCAGAUUUUAUUUCAACAAGUUGACAGUAUAUCUUUUAAUCCACCUUGCUGACUUUUAUUCCCCUCAGGGUGUCCUCUAUUUCUCUACUUAUUUUUCGUUCUUGAAACUGAAAUUUCCUCGCAAGGUGAUGGAACCUUUGGUACAAGUAAGUACGAGCGAGCUAAGAGGAGUUUACAAGUCUCAUAUAUAGUUGCAUCCAGAUCUAGGUUGUUUGUGUUCGCUAAACUUAAUGUGGUGAGAUAUAAGUUUAUUUGAAAUUAGACUUAGCAAAUUUGAAUAUGGGACACAAAUUGCAUGAGUAAGAACGUUUGUUGAAUUUUUGCACGUCGUUGUUUUGGUGUCUAUAUUUUCUAUUUUAAUUUUACAUUUGUUAUGGUAGUGCCUAUAAUAGUAAGUACAAUUGCAGCACAGUUGCAGAAGCCCUGGAUCUGCAGUUCUCUUCGACGUUAUACAGCUCAUUUUUCCCUUCGAAAUGUUAUUCCAAGAUAAAAUUGUACAAAGCCCGGACCAAUAAACUGCACUUCCUUUUACUGGUUUUUUUCCUCCUAAUAAUAGUAGUACUUGGUAAAGCAAGACAGGAGGCAUAACCAAACUAUAGGCUAUGCAAAUUUCAGAAAAACAUUAAUCGAAUAAGAAAAGAAGAAGAGAAUAGAAAACUCAUUCUCUAUAUUAGGAAUUAGGAACCAAAACUUCUGAAUAGAACACUGCUUCUGAUAAUAAUACAGUUGUCUAUUCUUAUUCAAUGACGAUUUCUGACAAACCUCCUCUGAAACUGGCUUCAAAAUGUCCACUGUGAACACAACAUUCUUUCCUAAAACUCUCACAACAUCCACCAACAUGUCUCUUUGACAAGCAAGCCCUUGGGGCUCCGCAGCCAACAUGGUUGUGGCCUCCUAAAAUAUCAGUGGUCGUUUGUUGAUAUGGUGGACUGCAGUCUGCAGAAUGAUCCUUGCACAAAGAUUGAAAAUUGUCCCCCUGAUCAUGACCACAACAAAAUCUUUUCAGCUCACCUAAUUCUUCAUCUGCAGUGAUGUGAUCUUUUGGAUGAUCUGGGCA